rnacentral:rRNA from 1 species
UGGGGAAUAUUGCACAAUGGGCGCAAGCCUGAUGCAGCCAUGCCGCGUGUAUGAAGAAGGCCUUCGGGUUGUAAAGUACUUUCAGCGGGGAGAAGGCGAUAAGGUUAAUAACCUUGUCGAUUGACGUUACCCGCAGAAGAAGCACCGGCUAACUCCGUGCCAGCAGCCGCGGUAAUACGGAGGGUGCAAGCGUUAAUCGGAAUUACUGGGCGUAAAGCGCACGCAGGCGGUCUGCCAAGUCGGAUGUGAAAUCCCCGGGCUCAACCUGGGAACUGCAUUCGAAACUGGCAGGCUAGAGUCUUGUAGAGGGGGGUAGAAUUCCAGGUGUAGCGGUGAAAUGCGUAGAGAUCUGGAGGAAUACCGGUGGCGAAGGCGGCCCCCUGGACAAAGACUGACGCUCAGGUGCGAAAGCGUGGGGAGCAAACA